GAUGAAGAACGUAGCGAAAUGCGAUAAGUAGUGUGAAUUGCAGAAUUCAGUGAAUCAUCUAAUCUUUGAACGCACAUUGCGCCCUUUGGUAUUCCAAAGGGCAUGCCUGUUCGAGCGUCAUUUGUACCCUCAAGCUUUGCUUGGUGUUGGGCGUCUUGUCUCUAGCUUUGCUGGAGACUCGCCUUAAAGUAAUUGGCAGCCGGCCUACUGGUUUCGGAGCGCAGCACAAGUCGCACUCUCUAUCAGCAAAGGUCUAGCAUCCAUUAAGCCUUUUUUUCAACUUUUGACCUCGGAUCAGGUAGGGAUACCCGCUGAACUUAAGCAUAUCAAUAAGCGGAGGA
rnacentral:misc_RNA from 1 species